rnacentral:rRNA from 1 species
AUGAACGCUGGCGGCGUGCCUAAUACAUGCAAGUCGAGCGAACAGACGAGGAGCUUGCUCCUCUGACGUUAGCGGCGGACGGGUGAGUAACACGUGGAUAACCUACCUAUAAGACUGGGAUAACUUCGGGAAACCGGAGCUAAUACCGGAUAAUAUAUUGAACCGCAUGGUUCAAUAGUGAAAGACGGUUUUGCUGUCACUUAUAGAUGGAUCCGCGCCGCAUUAGCUAGUUGGUAAGGUAACGGCUUACCAAGGCAACGAUGCGUAGCCGACCUGAGAGGGUGAUCGGCCACACUGGAACUGAGACAGGGUCCAGACUCCUACGGGAGGCAGCAGUAGGGAAUCUUCCGCAAUGGGCGAAAGCCUGACGGAGCAACGCCGCGUGAGUGAUGAAGGUCUUCGGAUCGUAAAACUCUGUUAUUAGGGAAGAACAAAUGUGUAAGUAACUAUGCACGUCUUGACGGUACCUAAUCAGAAAGCCACGGCUAACUACGUG